AUUGAACGCUGGCGGCAUGCUUUACACAUGCAAGUCGAACGGCAGCGCGGGCUUCGGCCUGGCGGCGAGUGGCGAACGGGUGAGUAAUGCAUCGGAACGUGCCCAGUAGUGGGGGAUAGCCCGGCGAAGGCCGGAUUAAUACCGCAUACGACCUGAGGGUGAAAGCGGGGGACCGAAAGGCCUCGCGCUAUUGGAGCGGCCGAUGUCGGAUUAGCUAGUUGGUGGGGUAAAGGCUUACCAAGGCGACGAUCCGUAGCUGGUCUGAGAGGACGACCAGCCACACUGGGACUGAGACACGGCCCAGACUCCUACGGGGGGCAGCAGUGGGGAAUUUUGGACAAUGGGGGCAACCCUGAUCCAGCCAUGCCGCGUGCGGGAAGAAGGCCUUCGGGUUGUAAACCGCUUUUGUUCGGGAAGAAAUCCUCUGGGCUAAUACCCCGGGGGGAUGACGGUACCGGAAGAAUAAGCACCGGCUAACUACGUG
rnacentral:rRNA from 1 species